GAAAGCUUCAUCUGAGGAACGAGCAAAACCUCAAGCUGCACAUCGCUUACAAGUCAACAGGAACCAGGGAUGCUCGGGACGUCUGAAAAUCAGGCCUCGGCGUAGGCUUGUUUUGAAGUCCUGCCACCGCUCCCAGGAGGAAAUGAGAGCCAUACACAUCUAUCGGGGGGGUGAAAUCGGCCCCUUUGUUACUUCAGGGAAGAUUGGUACAGGCAUUUUGGCUUUACUCAUUGGAGAGAACUCGCCUAAGUUGCAUCUCUCUCUCUCUCUCUGCUGCAAAUACGCUCAUGGAAAAAUGAAGAUGUACAGAUGGGCUGUUCAUUUUCAGUCAGGUUGCUGUGUAAAUAUGGCAUCAGGAAAAGAAGCGCCUGAAAGAGUGUGAGAAACACAGAUAUACACAAGGCAUCCCAACCACCACGUUUGGGCUGCCUCUGCAUCGCUCAAGUAUGCAUCAUCCAGCUCUGGCACAGCCGUAUGAGGCCGGAGGGAAAUGGAGCUAACGAAUAACAAAGUAUUGGUAUAUCGUGUGCCUUUCAACCUUGCACAACAGGAUAAAAUAAAUACGGAUUAGUGCUGGG